ensembl:lincRNA
CUCAUUUGUUCUUUUUUGUGACACAUCAAACCAUUAUACCACACAUUUCCUCUUUAAAACCACUCAUACAGUACUGUACAUGCUGCCAUAAGGUACCAUUUACACCCAGCAGUUCAAAGAGACACAUCUGCUCUACUGAUCAAUAAAAUGGCAGAUAUCUAUGGGAAUAAUGAUUUUCUCCACAUAGAAGCUCAGAACCAAUUCCAGACUGGGAAAACACAGCUACCAUCAGGGCAUCAGUGUUGGGAUGAUGAAGAAAGUGAUGCAGACUAUGAAAACAUUGAAUACACCCUAGAAAUGAAGGAAACCAGCCAAACCCAAGAGAGGAGAAGUCAGGACAACUCAGAGAAAAGAACAGAAGAGUUUAAAUCCAGCACACCUCCAGCUGCUGCUGUUGCUGGGACCAAGUCCAUCAUUCUGCUGUAUGUCCUGCUGUUGAUGGUCACUGUAGGCUGGGUAGUCUUCAUCUCACUGGCCUUCAUUAAGUACUCCGCACUAACCGAAGAAAUUCAGCACCUCCGAAAGAGUCAAGCUGCCUUGAAAGAGAGCAGUAAGAUAUCAGUUUCAAAUGUAAUUGCUGUCUCCCUUUGCAUCCUUGUAGGGAACAUUAUUUUUCUUAGAGGAGAUCUGGUCCACUUGUAUACAUUUUCUCAAAAAGAAAUAUGGCUGUAUUUGCGUUUUAACCCAUGUGUGGCAGGGGCCCUGGAUGAAGGCAUUAUUUUAGUGGCCACAGCUGUACUGGCUGAUUAAGGAUGAGCCACAGUUGUGAAGGCUCUUUAAAAAGACACUGAACACCCCCCGAAGGGACAAGCAUGGAAAUCCCAGAAGGGGAGUAACUUCCACUGACAGUCCCAGGGGGGAUUGUACUCAAGCUUAAGGUCAAUGUUUUUUAUUUUCUUUUUCUUUGUGCCUGUCCCAUCACACCUAUCUACCGGGCAGGUUGACCUUUUUUUACAUGUCUAGUUUUUAUUUUGUUUUGGCCUUGCGCUCCCUGCUCUUCCAGACUGGAUCCCAUUAAAAAGGGUAAGUCCUGUUCCUGGUAACAGUCUGGUUACCACUGUGCUGAGCAGUUUCUUUUUUCCCAGGCUAGACUGGAUGUCACGGUGUACAUCAGCGCAUAUUUACCAGUGCUCCUCCAUCUCCCACAUUGUUACACCAUGUUCAACCCCAGAGCAAAAUAUUUCACAAAAUCUCCCAUAAGAGAUCAUUUUUAACCUCUAUGCACACAAACAUACAGUAUGUGGACACAGACCUGAAAGGGAUUUGUACUGUAGAGUUCCAUUUGCUUUUUACAUUUACAUUCAUGUAGCAUAAUGUGUAUCUCUAUAGUUUGUGCUGCUUAAGGCCUGUUUAAAUAAAGGAUUUGGCAGCAAACAGAAAAAAUCUCAUCCACUCCACCAAAAUCUUAAUUUGACAACUUUCCUGACUUCAAUUAGUCCUGAAACACAUGCAGGAUAAACAACUUAAACUCCUGAAGGGAGAUACUGUUUUAAGGGAGUGAUAAAUUAGGAUCCCAGUAUAAUUUGUUUAUUAUAUAAUAAGGUCCCAAGCUUUUCCCUUACUAUUUUAAUUCUAUGCAUUGCUUUGCCAUUAGUCAUAGAAAAACCACAAGCAUAUUCCUGCUUAAGAAGUGAUACUUAAGAAACUGAAAUUCUCAGGGAAACACAGGGUAUCCAGAAUGAAGAUACUCUGGCUUUUCUUUGAAGAGGGCUAAAAAAGGAGGAACUAUCCAGUUUCCUCUUCUUCAAGAACUCUCAGUGCUUCUCUUUCCACUUUCUUCCCCCAGCUCUUCUUAUGACUCUCGUCAUACUUGCGUUCAACUUGCUGUAAUUACGUUUGGCACAUUCACAUCACUAGUGCCUUUUUAUCUUUAUAAAUCCUGCAGAAAUCCAAAGCCUGAAAAUGAAACAAGUUGGGUUGAUGAGCAAUGGUAAUAAUUAAUAAUAAUUGCUCACACUUAUAUAGUGCUUUUCUGGAAACUCCACUCAAAGCACUGUACAGAUAAUGGGAACUCCCCUCCACCACCACCAAUGUGCAGUCCCACCUGGAUGAUGUGACGGCGGUCAUAGUGCUUAGCACACAUCAGAUAUUUCUGGGGAGGAGAACAAAGUAAUGAAGCCAAUUCAUAGAUGGGGAUUAUUAGGAGGCCAUGAGUGGUCAGGGCCAAUGGGAAAUUUGGCCAGGACACCGGGGUUACACCCCUACUCUUUUCCAGAAACACUCUGGGAUUUUUAAUAACCACAGAGAGUCAGGACCUCGGUUUUACGUCUUAUCUGAAGGAUGGCACCUGUUUACAGUAUAGUGUCCCCCUCACUAUACUGGGGCAUUAGGACCCAAAAGGACUGCAGGGUGAGCACCCCCUGCUGGCCCCACUAACACCUCUUCCAGCAGCAGCCUUAGUUUUUCCCAGGAGGCUCACACCUGCUUAGCUUCAGUGGGUUGCCAGUUGUGAGUUGUAGAGUGUUAUGGCUGCUGGCCAUAUAACCCUGCAAAGGUAGGCUGCUGAAAUGGUAGGUGCUGUGUGUAUGUGGGGGGGGGGGGUUGUUCUUGGGAAUUUAUAGCACUUUUCAGGCAAAGAUUAAAUUAAUGUGUUACAUAAUCUACAGGCUGAAGCCUAAGUGUUUACCCACUUAACUUGGUAGUAGCAUUCUGCCUACUAAAGGUUUCCCAGUUCCCAGUUCAGUGCUGUUUCUAUGUUUUUUGACUGGUUGGGGGAUAAAACAUUCUAUCUUUUAGCUUUACAGUAUGUUUUUAUUUACAAAAUGACAUUAAAAUGGUCAAGGUUUGAAAUUAAUCUAAGACACAAGCAUUCAAAUAACCUAAAAUCAAUGUCAUUUAGCAAAGUGCCUUUUAUAAUGGACUGCAGUGUGUUAAAUUCUCUUAUGCGUUUUUUAACAUGUCAUGUCUUAUUAGACUAUAGAACUGAUUAGCCUAUGCAGUCUGUGAUACAAGUUUCAGCUGAAUUAAUAAAUAUUUACAGUAAACCAUUCUCAUCUGUGUAAUCUCUAUCAGGAUUAAGGUUGUGUAUGCUAAAAAAUGUAUUUAUAUUGUAGAUUUGUGAAACAGUAUCUGUCUACUAAUGCGCUGAGCCAGUACAUGCAAACCCAGAGAAACAGAUUUACAGAUUUUAAUCUCAAUCUGGACUCUCUCUUUUAGACUCAGCACUAAUUGAAGAAAUUCAGCACCUCCGAAAGAGUCAAGCUGCCUUGAAAGAGAGCAGUAAGAUAUCAGUUUCAAAUGUAAUUGCUGUCUCCCUUUGCAUCCUUGUAAGGAACAUUAUUUUUUCCUAGAGGACAGCUAGUCCACUUGUAUACAUUUUCCCAAAAAGAAAUUUGGCUAUAUUUGUGAUUUAACCCAUGUGUGGCAGGGGCCCUGGAUGAAGGGCGAGGCAUUACUUUAGUGGCCACAGCUGUACUGGCUGAUUAAGGAUGAGCCACAGUUGUGAAGGCUCUUUAAAAAGAUACUGAACACCCCCUGAAGGGACAAGCAUGGAAAUCCCAGAAGGGGAGUAACUUCCACUGACAGUCCCAGGGGGAUUGUAUCCAAGCAUAAGGCCAUUUUAUUUCUUUUAUCUUUUUCUUUGUGCCUGUCCCGUCACGUAUCUCUAUCGGGCAGGUUGACCUUUUUUUACACGUCUAGUUUUUAUUUUGUUUUGGCCUUGCGCUCCCUGCUCUUCCAGACUGGUUACCGCUGUGCUGAGCAGUUUCUUUUUUCCCAGGCUAGACCCCGUUAAAUAGGGUAAACCCAGACUGGAUGUCACGGUGUACAGCAGCUCAUUUUUACCAGUGCUCCCCCCACUCCCACAUUGUUACACCAUUUUCAACCCCAGAGCAAAAUAUUUCACAAAAUCUCACACAUCAUUUUUAACCUGUAUGCACACAAACAUCUGUAUGUGCACACAGACCUGAAAGGGGUUUGUAGAGUUCCAUUUGCUUUUUACAUUUACAUUCAUGUAGCAUAACGUGUAUCUCUAUAGUUUGUGCUGCUUAGGGCCUGUUUAAAUAAAGGAUGUGGCAGCAAAAAGAACAAAUCUCGGCCACUCCACCCAAAUCUUCAUUUGAAAACUUUCCGGGCUUCAAUUAGUCCUGAAACGUAUGCAGGAUAGAACAACUUAAACUCCUGAAGGGAGACACUCGCUUAUAUAAUAAAGUUCCAAGCUUUUUCUCUGCUAUUUUAAUUCUAUGCAUUGCAUUUGCCAUUAGUCAUGGAAAAACCACAAGCAUAUUCCUGCUUAAGAAGUGAUACCUAAGAAACUGAAAUUCUCAGGGAAACACAGGGUAUCCAGAAUGAAGAUACUCUGGGUUUUCUUUGAAGAGGGCUAAAAAAGGAGGAACUAUCUAGUUUCCUCUUCUUCAAGAACUCUCAGUGCUUCUCUUUCCAUUUUCUUCCCCCAGCUCUUCUUAUGACUCACGUCGUAUUUGCGUUCAGCUUGCUGUAAUUACGUUUAGCACAUUCACAUGACUAGAGCCUUUUUGUCUUUAUAGGUUCAUCAGAAAUUCAAAGCCUAAAAAUGAAACAAGUUGGGUUGAUGAGCAAUGGUAGGUGCUGUGUGUACAGUAUGUGUGUGUAUGUGAGGGGGUUGUUCUUGGGAAUUUAUAGCACUUUUCAGGCAAAGAUUAAAUUAAUGUGUUAAUGUGUUAACUGAUAGGACUGAUUAGCCUAUGCAGUCUGUGAUACACAUUUCAGCUGAAUUCAUAAAUAUUUAUAGUAAACCAUUCUCAUCUGUGUUAUCUCUAUCAGGAUUAAGGUUGUAUAUGCUGAAAAUGUAU